CAGGGUGUAGCGCAGUUGGUAGCGCGCCUCGCUUGGGACGAGGAGGUCGCUGGUUCGAGCCCAGCCACCCUGACCA
rnacentral:tRNA from 1 species